GUACCGGUACAGAGUCAAUGUGGAGGCUAUAUACAGGGGGUACCGGUACAGAGUCAAUGUGGAGGCUAUAUACAGGGGGUACCGGUACAGAGUCAAUGUGGAGGCUAUAUACAGGUUGUUACGGUACAGAGUCAAUGUGGAGGCUAUAUACAGGGGGUACCGGUACAGAGUCAAUGUGGAGGCUAUAUACAGGGGGUACCGGUACAGAGUCAAUGUGGAGGCUAUAUACAGGGGGUACCGGUACAGAGUCAAUGUGGAGGCUAUAUACAGGGGGUACCGGUACAGAGUCAAUGUGGAUGUUAUAUACAGGGGGUACCGGUACAGAGUCAAUGUGGAGGCUAUAUUCCGGGGGUACCGGUACAGAGUCAAUGUGGAGGCUAUAUACGGGGGGUACCGGUACAGAGUCAAUGUGGAGGCUAUAUACGGGGGGUACCGGUACAGAGUCAAUGUGGAGGCUAUAUACAGGGGGUACCGGUACAGAGUCUGUGGAGGCUAUAUACAGGGGGUACCGGUACAGAGUCAAUGUGGAGGCUAUAUACAGGGGGUACCGGUACAGUGUCAAUGGGCAGGGGCACAGGCUAGUCAGGCUAAUUGAGGUAAUUUGUACAUGUAGGUAGAGUUAGUGACUAUGCAUAGGUAAUAAACAGAGUAACAGCAGCAUAAAAAUGGGGGUGGGGGGGGGAUCAAUGUGAAUAGUCUGAGUAGCCAUUUGAUUAGCUGUUCAGGAGUCUUAUGGCUGGGGGGUAGAAGCUGUUAAGAAGUCCUUUGGACCUAGACUUGGCGCUCCGGUACCGCUUGCUGUGUGGCAGCAGAGAACAGUCGAUGACUAGGGUGGCUGGAGUCUGGCUAUUUUUAGUGCCUUCCUCUGACACCGCCUGGUAUAGAGGUCCUGGAUGUCAGGAAGCUUGGCCCCAGUGAUGUAUGCUUCAGUGUUGCUUGCCUCAAAGCGAGAAUAGAAGUCAUUUAGCUCGUCUGGUAGGCUUGAAAGCGGUGGGCGAGGGAGAGCUUUGUUUGCAUCUCUGUGUGGAGUAAAGGUGGGCUAGAGGUUUUUUCUCUCCUCUGGUUGCAUAUGUGACAUGCUGAUAGAAAUGAGGUAAAACUGAUUUAAAUUUGCCUGCAUUAAAGUCCCCGGACACUAGGGGCGCCGCUUUUGGAGGAGCAUUUUCUUGUUUGCUUAUGGCCUUGUACAGUUGGUUGAGUGGGGUCUUAUGGCCUUAUAGAGUUGGUUGAGUGGGGUCUUAGUGCCUUAUACAGCUGGUUGAGUGGGGUCUUAUGGCCUUGUAGAGUUGGUUGAGUGGGGUCUUAUGGCCUUGUAGAGUUGGUUGAGUGGGGUCUUAUGGCCUUGUAGAGUUGGUUGAGUGGGGUCUUAUGGCCUUGUAGAGUUGGUUGAGUGUGGUCUUAGUGCCUUAUACAGUUGGUUGAGUGGGGUCUUAUGGCCUUGUAGAGUUGGUUGAGUGGGGUCUUAUGGCCUUGUAGAGUUGGUUGAGUGGGGUCUUAUGGCCUUGUAGAGUUGGUUGAGUGGGGUCUUAUGGCCUUGUAGAGUUGGUUGAGUGGGGUCUUAUGGCCUUGUAGAGUUGGUUGAGUGUGGUCUUAUCCUUAUACAGCUGGUUGAGUGGGGUCUUAUGGCCUUGUAGAGUUGGUUGAGUGGGGUCUUAUGGCCUUGUAGAGUUGGUUGAGUGGGGUCUUAUGGCCUUGUAGAGUUGGUUGAGUGGGGUCUUAUGGCCUUGUAGAGUUGGUUGAGUGGGGUCUUAUGGCCUUAUAGAGUUGGUUGAGUGGGGUCUUAGUGCCUUGUAGAGUUGGUUGAGUGGGGUCUUAUGGCCUUGUAGAGUUGGUUGAGUGGGGUCUUAUGGCCUUGUAGAGUUGGUUGAGUGGGGUCUUAUGGCCUUGUAGAGUUGGUUGAGUGGGGUCUUAUGGCCUUAUAGAGUUAGUUGAGUGGGGUUUUAGUGCCUUAUACAGCUGGUUGAGUGCGGUCUUAUGGCCUUAUAGAGCUACUAAUAAUAUAGAUGAGAACUCUCUUGGUAGAUAGUGUGGUCUACAGCUUAUCAUGAGAUACUCUACCUCUUGGUAGAUAGUGUGGUCUACAGCUUAUCAUGAGAUACUCUACCUCUUGGUAGAUAGUGUGGUCUACAGCUUAUCAUGAGAUACUCUACCUCUUGGUAGAUAGUGUGGUCUACAGCUUAUCAUGAGAUACUCUACCUCUUGGUAGAUAGUGUGGUCUACAGCUUAUCAUGAGAUACUCUACCUCAGGCGAGCAAAACCUUGAGACUUCCUUAAUAUUAGAUUUCGUGCACCAGCUGUUGUUUCCAAAUAGACACAGACCGUCAACCCUUGUCUUACCGGAGGCAGCUGUUCUAUCUUGCCGAUGCAGCGUACACCCAGCUGUAUGUUAUCCAUGUCAGCCACGACUCGGUGAAACAUAAGAUGUUACAGUUAAUAUCCCGUUGGUAGGAUAGUCUUGAUCGGAGCUCAUUACAUUUAUUAUCCAAUGAUUGCACGUUGGCUAAUAGGACUGAUGGUAGAGGUGGGUUACCCACUCGCCGUCGGAUUCUUACAAGGCACCCCGACCUACGACCCCUAUAUAUCUCUGUUACUACUUCAUGCGAAUGACGGGGAUUUGGGCCUUGUCCGGUGUCUGAAGUAAAUCUUUCAAGUCCGACUCGUUAAAGAAAAAAUCUUCGUACAGGGUGAGAAACCACUGUCCUGAUAUCCAGGAGCUCUUUUCAGUCAUAAGAGACGGUGGCAGAAACAUUAUGGACAAAACAACUUACAAAUAACACAAACACACAAUAGCACCAUUGGUUAAGAGCCUGUUAAACAGCAGCCAUCUCCUCCAGCACCAUUGGUUAAGAGCCUGUUAAACAGCAGCCAUCUCCUCCAGCACCAUUGGUUAAGAGCCUGUUAAACAGCAG
rnacentral:lncRNA from 1 species